rnacentral:tRNA from 1 species
GCCUGGCUGGCUCAGUCAGUAGAGCACGUGACUCUUGAUCUCAAGGUCAUGAGUUCAAGCCUCACGUUAGGUG